UACGUAGGGUGCAAGCGUUAAUCGGAAUUACUGGGCGUAAAGCGUGCGCAGGCGGUUCGGAAAGAGAGGUGUGAAAUCCCAGGGCUUAACCUUGGAACUGCACUUUUAACUACCGGGCUAGAGUACGUCGGAGGGGGGUAGAAUUCCACGUGUAGCAGUGAAAUGCGUAGAGAUGUGGAGGAAUACCGAUGGCGAAGGCAGCCCCCUGGGAUGAUACUGACGCUCAUGCACGAAAGCGUGGGGAGCAAACAGG
rnacentral:rRNA from 1 species